UUGUAGCCUUGCUAUGGUAUAACUUAGUGGCAGACGGGUGAGUAAUGUAUAGGAAUCUACCUAGUAGUACGGAAUAAUUGUUGGAAACGGCAACUAAUACCGUAUACGCCCUACGGGGGAAAAAUUUAUUGCUAUUAGAUGAGCCUAUAUUAGAUUAGCUAGUUGGUGGAGUAAUAGCCUACCAAGGCAAUGAUCUAUAGCUGAUCUGAGAGGAUGAUCAGCCACACUGGAACUGAGAUACGGUCCAGACUCCUACGGGAGGCAGCAGUGGGGAAUAUUGGACAAUGGGCGAAAGCCUGAUCCAGCCAUGCCGCAUGAGUGAAGAAGGCCUUUGGGUUGUAAAGCUCUUUUAGUGAGGAAGAUAAUGACGGUACUCACAGAAGAAGUCCUGGCUAACUCCGUGCCAGCAGCCGCGGUAAUACGGAGAGGGCUAGCGUUAUUCGGAAUUAUUGGGCGUAAAGGGCGCGUAGGCGGAUUAGUAAGUUAAAAGUGAAAUCCCAAGGCUCAACCUUGGAAUUGCUUUUAAAACUGCUAAUCUAGAGAUUGAAAGAGGAUAGAGGAAUUCCUAGUGUAGAGGUGAAAUUCGUAAAUAUUAGGAGGAACACCAGUGGCGAAGGCGUCUAUCUGGUUCAAAUCUGACGCUGAGGCGCGAAGGCGUGGGGAGCAAACAGGAUUAGAUACCCUGGUAGUCCACGCUGUAAACGAUGAAUGUUAAAUAUGGGAAGUUUUACUUUCUGUAUUACAGCUAACGCGUUAAACAUUCCGCCUGGGGACUACGGUCGCAAGAUUAAAACUCAAAGGAAUUGACGGGGACCCGCACAAGCGGUGGAGCAUGUGGUUUAAUUCGAUGCAACGCGAAAAACCUUACCACUCCUUGACAUGAAAAUCAUUACCUA
rnacentral:rRNA from 1 species